rnacentral:misc_RNA from 1 species
CACUGAGAUUACUAUGUCUUGUCCAGUGGAGGCGGUUUAGUUUGACUCUUGCGUGCGUUCGUGAUCGAGGAGCUUUGUUAUUGUUGGCAGUUUCUCGCAAUUAUGGCUCAGGAAGACCCAGUUAAGGACCUGAAAGACACUUUGCAAGAAAUAUGUUGCCAAUUACAAGAGGAUCAGGUGCCGCACGAAGUUGUCGAAGGCUUCAUCCUGGAAGAGUUCCUGCCGAGACUUGCCUAUGCAGUUGAAAAAAUUGGCCUCAAUGCCAAGAGAAUCUGCCUUGCCUUUGUGGAGCCACCAGCUCCAACCCCUUUGGAAGUGGCUGGCCUGAUUGCCCGUAUGAAAGCGGCCUGCUUAGAAGUUCUGUCAAUCUUUGCUGAGCUGCCACGAUGUCAAGGUCGGACGCUGAGAAAGGAGGUUGCAGACCAUCUGCGUGAACUGUACGAUGCUGUUAAGGAUUUCGUUUCAGGCAUCGGCCCAGAGAGUGAUUCUUGCCUUCAAGUGGCUGGUAAAUUGUGGGAAAAAUGUGAUGCCAUAAAAAGGAUCUCCAAAGACAACAAAGAAGCUGUUUGUUCUGUUCUUGCAAGCCACUAUGAGUUCAUUCAAGAUGCGGUUGACGAGCUUCGUGAGUCAAUGGAUGAAGAUGAAGCUCUGGCAGUGGAUAUGCCACGUAUGCCUGUUCGCAAUGGCUUCAACCAAACUCGUGCUUUCACUUGGUCUGGAGAGGACAGGGAGUUGCUUAUCCCAGGCAUGGGACUCGUGAAGACAGUCCGCAUUACUAUGCGCAAAGUGAGCGCUGUUGUGAAUUCUCGUGGCCGGUGCAUAAACAUGCAGGAGAACACAGACCUGGACAGAAUAGCCGAUCUGUUUCAGACAUCUAGCUCAUUCAUGGAUGACUUCAUCACAUCCCUCUACCCUCCUCUCUUUGCAACCGCUGUCCAAGAAAGCGGGAAGCCUAAUAAUUUGUUCCCGGGCCCUGUGGUAAUGUGAAAAUGCAAAAAUUGUUCCGCACAACACAUUGAAAAAAAAAAAAAAAUGUUUUCAAUGUAUUUACCAAGGAAUGAGAACAUUCAAGAUCGAGAGAGAGAUGGUCAAAGAAGGGCACUGCACUGAAGGGACAUGUACUUGCCAUGCUG